CGGUCGGUUAAAGCGGCCGUUGGAACUAUAUUAGACGCACCUCGACGCCCAGACGACGAAACCCUGGAGACCAUUUUGUUCGAAGCGGAGGCCAUGAUCAACUGUAGGCCUCUGACUUACAUACCUUUGGAGUCAGCAGACGAGGAAUCGCUCACCCCGAACCAUUUCCUCCUCGGGAGUUCAAAUGGUGUGAAAAUUCGGUCUACAGAACCCGUUCAAGAACAUGCCACAUUAAGAAGUAGUUGGAAGCUAGCCCAACACAUCACUGAUCAACUGUGGCGCAGGUGGAUCAAAGAAUUCUUGCCUGUGAUCACACGCAGGACGAAGUGGCACGAAGAAGUGAAAGAUCUACAGGUAGGUGACCUUGUCUUGGCGGUCAACGGAACCUUGAGGAACCAGUGGAUCCGAGGCCGUAUCAUUCAGGUUUUCCCUGGAAGAGACGGCAGAGUGCGACAAGCUCUUGUGAAGACAGCGACAGGCGUACUCAAAAGGGCUGCAGUGAAACUAACGGUUCUGGACGUAGAAGAGAAGUGUAAACCAGGCGACGGAUCACCGGAGGCCCCAGAACCUUGCCAUGGUUUACGGGAGGGGGUAUGUAACGACAGGAACCGCGGCUCUGGCGACACUGCCACAGAGCUACCGUCCCACUUUCCGAUCGUACACGAUCAACAGUUGUCAUCGUAGAUGACUCGCACAAUCACUGUAAGGUCGCAAAACAGCAAGUGAAUGGACGACGAAAAGUGCAUAUUGUUGAUUGCUUAAUGCUAUACAGUGCUUAAACCUAAAUCUAUCGUACAGCUUACGAUACUUAAAACUAAAUCUACCGUGCAAAUUUCAUAUCCUAUUCAGUGAAAAACUAUGAUAAAAUUAGCCUACAGACGUUAGAUACGACCCGUCCAAAUCUUUAAU